ACAGGUGGUCGGGUAGAGAAUACCAAGGCGCUUGAGAGAACUCGGGUGAAGGAACUAGGCAAAAUGGUACCGUAACUUCGGGAGAAGGUACGCUCUUGAUGGUGAAGUCCCUCGCGGAUGGAGCUGACGAGAGUCGCAGAUACCAGGUGGCUGCAACUGUUUAUUAAAAACACAGCACUGUGCAAAAUCGCAAGAUGACGUAUACGGUGUGACGCCUGCCCGGUGCCGGAAGGUUAAUUGAUGGGGUUAGCGCAAGCGAAGCUCUUGAUCGAAGCCCCGGUAAACGGCGGCCGUAACUAUAACGGUCCUAAGGUAGCGAAAUUCCUUGUCGGGUAAGUUCCGACCUGCACGAAUGGCGUAAUGAUGGCCACGCUGUCUCCACCCGAGACUCAGUGAAAUUGAAAUCGCUGUGAAGAUGCAGUGUACCCGCGGCUAGACGGAAAGACCCCGUGAACCUUUACUACAGCUUGGCACUGAACAUUGAACCUACAUGUGUAGGAUAGGUGGGAGGCUAUGAAGACGUGACGCCAGUUGCGUUGGAGCCGUCCUUGAAAUACCACCCUUGUAUGUUUGAUGUUCUAACUUAGCCCCAUUAUCUGGGGUGAGGACAGUGCCUGGUGGGUAGUUUGACUGGGGCGGUCUCCUCCCAAAGAGUAACGGAGGAGCACGAAGGUGGGCUAAUCACGGUUGGACAUCGUGAGGUUAGUGCAAUGGCAUAAGCCCGCUUAACUGCGAGAAUGACGGUUCGAGCAGGUGCGAAAGCAGGUCAUAGUGAUCCGGUGGUUCUGUAUGGAAGGGCCAUCGCUCAACGGAUAAAAGGUACUCCGGGGAUAACAGGCUGAUACCGCCCAAGAGUUCAUAUCGACGGCGGUGUUUGGCACCUCGAUGUCGGCUCAUCACAUCCUGGGGCUGAAGUCGGUCCCAAGGGUAUGGCUGUUCGCCAUUUAAAGUGGUACGCGAGCUGGGUUUAGAACGUCGUGAGACAGUUCGGUCCCUAUCUGCCGUGGGCGUUGGAAGAUUGAAGGGGGCUGCUCCUAGUACGAGAGGACCGGAGUGGACGAACCUCUGGUGUUCGGGUUGUGUCGCCAGACGCAUUGCCCGGUAGCUAAGUUCGGAAUUGAUAAGCGCUGAAAGCAUCUAAGCGCGAAGCGAGCCCUGAGAUGAGUCUUCCCUGACAGUUUAACUGUCCUAAAGGGUUGUUCGAGACUAGAACGUUGAUAGGCAGGGUGUGUAAGCGUUGUGAGGCGUUGAGCUAACCUGUACUAAUUGCCCGUGAGGCUUAACCAUACAACACCCAAGGGGUUUUGUA
rnacentral:rRNA from 1 species